rnacentral:lncRNA from 1 species
AAAAGUUACAUGCAAAAUAUGAAAUUUAUAUUGCCAUUAUUAACAUACAAAUAAGAUACUAGAUUGCUCAAUUUCAGUUAAUCUGAAGAUUCUUCAUCUUUGGAGGGUGUUGCGACCUGACUGGACAAAGCCUGGAGCAGUGUAGUUUGAAUUCACUGUUAAGCCUGGUUUGAGCUAGAGAUGUGACCAGAUGACUUUGCAAAGUCUCUUUCAGCUUGGAUGAUUCCAUAAUUAAUACAUCAAGAAGAAAAAUAUUUCUGCCUACAUCAACUAAUUUUAAUUUGUUGAAGGACAUUUCUUGUCAGUUCUUCUCUUUUCUUUUGCCUCCAGACUUAAACAACAACAGAAAAAAAAAGUAGGUGAAAGCACAGCAUUCUUUAUCAGCCUUUGUGUUACCACUGUUUUUAAAUUUAUAUGAUGCCAUGACAUGUAGUGCUUAAAGGUCCACAGAUACCUGAACAAAUACACACAGUGAUUGAAACAUAUUUUGACCCAGUGACCCAACAGCAUCUGGGAACAAACAGUUUAUUUUAACAAAUGAAAGUUGCUUGGUUUUACUUUCUUUGUAAAACAUUUUCUAGCUAACAUCAUUGACCUGUUUGGGCUUUUUUUUUUUAUCAAAAUGACUUGAUACAAAGCUUAUGUUUAUUAUCUGACAUAAAAAGGAAGGCAAAAGAUGCAAAGCAUUGAAAAAAAUUAAAACCUGACACUUAAAGGUUUUUCCUGCACUACCAGACUGAGUCUGAGGGGCAAAGCUGUAGUGCCUAGUUCUUGAUCAAGUUAAGAUGAUUUUGCCAUUUUGAGUGCAAACAGCAUGACAGAAGGGAAUUCCUGACAAGAAUGAAUCCCAGAUGGAGUGGAUUUCUCUCUAUGCUCUAUAACUCCGCAAAUGAGGCACUACUAUUUAAAUACCAUUGCAGAAGCUGAAUUGAAGUAAUUUCAGUGGCUCUGAAAUGCUGAUGUGAGGUGGCAGAGCUAUCAAUAAAGUUGGCUGCACACAGUUUAAUGGAGCA